ACUUAAGUAGUUUAUUUAAAAUAAAGAUUUGUGGUGUCUUAGAAGUAUAUAUGUAUCUUAGGUU
rnacentral:tRNA from 1 species